ACGCUCGACACCUACGGGAGGCAGCAGUGAGGAAUAUUGGUCAAUGGGCGCUAGCCUGAACCAGCCAAGUAGCGUGAAGGAUGAAGGCUCUAUGGGUCGUAAACUUCUUUUAUAUAAGAAUAAAGUGCAGUAUGUAUACUGUUUUGUAUGUAUUAUAUGAAUAAGGAUCGGCUAACUCCGUGCCAACAGCCGGGUAAUCUGAGCGGGCUGGCAAGGC
rnacentral:rRNA from 1 species